rnacentral:rRNA from 1 species
UACGUAGGGUGCGAGCGUUGUCCGGAAUUAUUGGGCGUAAAGAGCGUGUAGGCGGCCACGCAGGUCCGUUGUGAAAACUGGAGGCUCAACCUCCAGACGUCGACGGAAACCGUGUGGCUAGAGUCCGGAAGAGGAGAGUGGAAUUCCUGGUGUAGCGGUGAAAUGCGCAGAUAUCAGGAAGAACACCAAUGGCGAAGGCAGCUCUCUGGGACGGUACUGACGCUGAGACGCGAAAGCGUGGGGAGCGAACAGG